GACACGUUCCAGAUUCCUACGGGAGGCAGCAGUGGGGAAUAUUGCACAAUGGGCGCAAGCCUGAUGCAGCAACGCCGCGUGAGGGACGAAGGCCUUCGGGUUGUAAACCUCUUUUAGCAGGGAAGAAGCGAAAGUGACGGUACCUGCAGAAAAAGCACCGGCUAACUACGUGCCAGCAGCCGCGGUAAUACGUAGGGUGCAAGCGUUGUCCGGAAUUAUUGGGCGUAAAGAGCUCGUAGGCGGUUUGUCGCGUCUGCUGUGAAAACUGGAAGCUCAACUUCCAGCCUGCAGUGGGUACGGGCAGACUAGAGUGCGGUAGGGGAGAACGGAAUUCCUGGUGUAGCGGUGGAAUGCGCAGAUAUCAGGAGGAACACCGAUGGCGAAGGCAGUUCUCUGGGCCGUUACUGACGCUGAGGAGCGAAAGCGUGGGGAGCGAACAGGAUUAGAUACCCUGGUAGUCCACGCCGUAAACGGUGGGUGCUAGCUGUGGGCCACAUUCCACGUGGUCCGUGACGAAGUUAACACAUUAAGCACCCCGCCUGGGGAGUACGGCCGCAAGGCUAAAACUCAAAGGAAUUGACGGGGGCCCGCACAAGCGGCGGAGCAUGCGGAUUAAUUCGAUGCAACGCGAAGAACCUUACCAAGGCUUGACAUAUAGAGGAAAAGUGCAGAAAUGUACUCCCCGUAAGGUCUCUAUACAGGUGGUGCAUGGUUGUCGUC
rnacentral:rRNA from 1 species